UACAGAGGGGGCAAGCGUUAUUCGGAAUUAUUGGGCGUUAAGGGUGCGUAGGCGGCGCGGUAAGUCGGGUGUGAAAUCUUGGAGCUUAACUCCGAAACUGCAUUCGAUACUGCCGUGCUUGAGGACUGGAGAGGAGACUGGAAUUUACGGUGUAGCGGUGAAAUGCGUAGAUAUCGUAAGGAAGACCAGUGGCUAAGGCGGGUCUCUGGACAGUUCCUGACGCUGAGGCACGAAGGCCAGGGGAGCAAACGGG
rnacentral:rRNA from 1 species